UACCAUCUAUGAUUUAUAUUUUUAAGUUUUGACUUUCUCUCUUUUCCCUUUUUUGGUAAAGAAUAAAUUAAAAAUUCAAAUUAAUAGAUAGAUAGAUGGUGGCACAGAAUCGGAGGCCCCGACUGUUUACUAAAAACACAACACAGUGCAAUCAUUAAUGUGGUAGUAUACUGUGUGAAAUUUGCCCAAUGCCAUUAAUAUAANNNCGGUCAUGGGAAACUGUGACUAAUUGAAAAUCUGGUUAAUAGCGGUCUUAAUCAUGAGGAUCCUAAGGUAGCAAAAUAAAUUGGCCAUUAAAUGUGGUCCGGUAUCAAUAAUGUAACGAUGGCCUCACUGUCAUCUACAACUUGCUCAGUGAAAUUGAAUUACGCGUGCAGA
rnacentral:rRNA from 1 species